rnacentral:lncRNA from 1 species
CAUUUGCCUUACACAGGUGAUGUUCCUCACAACUGAGCACUCUGAUGCCAACAGCAGCAAUACGGAAAACCACUCUGGGACAGAGCAGCAGGAAAAGCUGCCUCGAGACUUCCCAGAGAUAUGACAGGAGCACCCUCAGUGUGAUGCCUGGUGAGUGAAAUGGAGCUGGCAGGCUGACCCACAAACAUUCUGUAUUUACCUGUCCAUGGAGCCAAUACUCAAACAGAACAAAUCUCUCUCGUAGUCGAGGUUCCUUGAGGUGCACCUGUAGAUGCUGCCAAGUGUCCUUGAGCAGUCAGAGCAGAAUAAGGUUUCUAGCAUGCUGUAAGAAAGAAAUAACAUUUAUUCAGAAGAAAAUAAAAGGAAGCACCUCUCCCCAUCCAUUUUCUUAAAAAAAAAAAAAAUAAUGCAUUAGAAUUUUUUAAAGCAUUUAUUCUUGCUUUACACAGUGUAAAUUAUGAGCUUUCAUCUUUCAGUCUGAGUUUGCCACAGCUCCUCAGGCUGACUGAUCUCAGGAAGACCAUCAGAAUCACUAAACGGUGGUCGGGACAUUAAAGCUCAUCCCAUUCCACCCCCUGCCGUGGGCAGGGACACCUCCCAGUGUCCCAGGCCAGGCUGGACACUGGGGCUUGGAGCAGCCUGGGACACUGCCAGGGAUCCAGGGGCAGCCACAGGGGCCUGGCCACCCUCACCGGGAAAAACUUCCUGUGAUACUCACCUAACCCUGCCUUCCUUCAUCCUGAGGCCAUCUCCAUUCCAAUGGCUCCGUGUCCCUGUGAGGAAUCCCUCUGCCUUGGGCCACAAGCGCUUGUACAGAGCACCCCACAUCAGAGUUCCAGGGGCUCUGGGGGCACACGAGCACUCGGGGCCCUCGGCCAGGCUUGUCCUCAGCACCUUGCCCGCGAAGCCCCGGCUGUGCCCGGCCAGGACCGGCUCUGUGCCCGGCUCUGUGCCCGGCCAGGACCGGCGCUCCCCACCCGCACCCGCCGGGCGGCUCGGAGCCCUCACGGCCCGGGCCCGCGGCGGCCGCACCGCGGCGGGAGGAGGAGGGAAGGAGGGAUGGCGGCAGGGACGGCCGGGCCGGGAGGAGGGAGGGAAGGCGGCAGGGACGGCCGGGGCGGCACUAAAAGAACGGCCCCGAGGCACCGCCUCCGAACGGCCCCGAGGCACCGGCGGCGCUGCCCGCGGACCCCGGCCCGGAGCCGCCCCCGCGCCUGCCCCAGAACCGCUCCCGGGAAAAAGGAGCGGAAAGUUACUCUGAACCACCUCUAGAAAAGUUUUGCUGUGCAUUCAGAUCAGCCGAGUGUUUAUUGCCUCCGGACUUAGAAAAUGGUGUAAU